AGGGCGGAUCUGCGUGUUGCUAACACGCAACCACCAGA
rnacentral:tRNA from 1 species